UGGCCCUACGGGGCGCAGCAGUGAGGAAUAUUGGUCAAUGGUCGGGAGACUGAACCAGCCAAGCCGCGUGAGGGAGGAAGGUACAGAGUAUCGUAAACCUCUUUUGUCAGGGAACAAAGACUGGGACGCGUCCCCGGAUGAGUGUACCUGAAGAAAAAGCAUCGGCUAACUCCGUGCCGGCAGCCGCGGUAAUACGGAGGAUGCGAGCGUUAUCCGGAUUUAUUGGGUUUAAAGGGUGCGUAGGCGGACUGUUAAGUCAGCGGUAGAAGCCCGGGGCUCAACCCCGGCGAGCCGUUGAAACUGGC
rnacentral:rRNA from 1 species